GAAUACAAACUGCUUUUUGAGGGUGCAGGUAGCAAUCCUGGAGACAAGACCCUGGAGGACCGAUUCUUUGAACAUGAGCUGAACAAGCUGGCCUUCCUGAACCAGUUCCACUUUGGUGUCUUUUAUGCCUUUGUGAAGCUUAAGGAACAGGAAUGUCGCAACAUUGUGUGGAUUGCUGAGUGCAUUGCCCAGCGCCAUCGCGCCAAGAUCGACAACUAUAUCCCCAUCUUCUAGAGUUCCGACUUAAGGUUCCCAAGUGCACUGUGUGUGUCUGUGUGCUGUGGUGAAGCCUCUGGCUCACUUGUCUGACUUGGUGAGGUGUAGCACAUUGCCCUGGGAUUGGUUGCCCAGCUUCCAUGACCCCCUCGGGACUGCUCAUAGGUCUAAAAAGAGUUAGGCACCUUUCCCCUGAUCAAGAAUGGACCAAGAUCCCCUCUAGAGCAAAGAGGCCCCCCAGCCCUAUGUUUACAGCCACUGACAUGUCUAAGAAACUGUGUGACUUUUAUGUCCCUCCCUAACCUGAGAACCCUGGGGACAGCUUCCUUUCCUGUCCUUAGGUCAUUCCCAGAACCAUGACCUGUGGGAAAAAUAGAGAAUAUGUAUUCUUGGGGUAUUGGGAAAGCAGCUUUGCAGCCCUCUCCCUCAGCUCUGCCCCUCUGAGACAAUAAAAUUGCCCUCUUUAAAA
rnacentral:lncRNA from 1 species